rnacentral:tRNA from 1 species
CGAGGAGGGGAUAUCGCAUUGGACUUGUAAUCCAAAGGUCGUGGGUUCGAAUCCAACCUAGGA